ensembl:lncRNA
CACACACACACACACACACACAGAGGGAGAGAGAGAGAGAGAACUAGGAAGUGCACUACAGCACCUGCUCUCUCGCUCUUCUUCAUCCAGCAGAAAAUCUAAAAGUAGUACAUUUAGAGUACUGCACACUUCUGUUCCUCAGAGAUGGAGGAAAAUCAGGAAGCUGCUGAAACUCACCUGUUCUGGUAAGAGUCACUUUUAUUCCCUUACUUUCAUUAUGUUAAUGAUCGAAGGAGUUUAAAGGUAAACAGUUCACGUUUGUGUCUGUAAAUUUAGAUAUUUAGAUUUUAUUCACGUGCUUUAAAUGUCACAUGAUGCUAAAUUGUGGCAUGAAAUCAUGUUGUGCGUGUCUUAUUAUUUUUAUUUGUGUUAUUUUGAAUCCUCGAAUUUCUGCUCUCGGUUAAAUAAAACUUGCUCGCGAGAGACUCUAUGUUGCACACGUAUUGUCAACGUUUUUAUCUUUCUUAUCCAAAACCAGAGACUGAACCCCACUUAAAUAAAUCAUGCACAUUUUCUUUAGACAAGAAAACAAACAACGCACCAAGAACUUCUGUAGAACAUGACUGUUUCGAAAAACAAAGGGGUUAAGCUGUGGCCUUGGCAGACGUUUAUUAAUUCACUGAGAAAACAUGUUUGGAAAACGGACUUCCGGGUCAGAAUGUUUGUGUGUGAUCGGACACGCCUCUUGUCAGUCAUUUUAUAGACACCAUACAAUACAGGCCACUGUAGAUCCUGGUAGGCGGAGCUUUGUAAACAUGGGCGGGAUUCAUUCAAAUGUUAAAUCCACUUAACCAUUAGACCUAAUUCUGAAAAAGUGCUACUGGCAUUGCUUGUGAGUGUACCAGCUAUCUUCUAUUCACUGUCAAAAUUAGCUGCUUGCAUGCUAGCCUUUGUAUUAGCUAUUAGCAGCACAAGCUAACUGUACUAGAUACGUACGCUGACCAGAGACAGCGAUGAUCUCUGCUACUUCCUUUCAAUCUUUAUUUUUCUUUGUAACGUCUCUGUACAUGUUUAAUCAGAGGUCUAUAACAUUACACGAUAAGAUAAAAUCACACUUAUAACUUCUAUUUCCAUUUUUUGUGGGAACUAACAGCAGAAAGGAAUUACAGGUGUAGGAUCACUCUGAGGAAUCAUUCCAGAUGAUUGUUUGGAUCUAUCGCUUCUUUACAGACUCAUAAGUCAUUUGCAAAGAAUUGAGAAAAUCUGAUCUGUGACUGAAAUCUCGCCUCCGUGUCACGUGUGUACGUAGAAAUGAACAGACACCUGUCGCUCUGUUGCUGCUCGUGUGAACUCAGGAUUAAACAGGUUAGGAUUAUCACGAUGACUAAACCUGCCUGAAAGUCAUUUAAUCCUCGAUUUGUUAAACAACGAAAAGAGCAGCGGGCUUAACGAGACCAAACCACAGAUGAUAAGACAGAACACAACAGAAGACUCGAUACUACAGACCUUUAAAAAAUUCAACUGCAUUAAAUACCUCCCGAGAUACCCGCGAUCCCGACCCGUUCUGCUCUCCGGACCGGCCCGAUCCACCUGCCAGCAUUCCAUCAGCUGAUUACUCCAACAAAACAAACUUCAGGUUAAAGCUAAAAUAAAUUCAGAAAUGACGCUGAUGCUCAUAUUCAUAAGUUCCUCUUAACACACUUGCCACUGCUUGACUCUAUUAAUAUACAUUUAUAGAAGGGGUGUAUUUAUUUAUAAUCACACUAUCCGGUGUCACCCAGAUGAGGACGGGUUCCCUUCUGAGUCCGGUUCCUCUCGAGGUUUCUUCCUCAUAUCGUCUCAGGGAGUUUUUCCUCACCACGUCUCCUCUGGCUGCUCGUUAGGGAUAAAUUCACACAUUUAACAUCUCUAUCCUGAGUGUAUAUAUUUCUGUAGCGCUGCUCCGGGACGACGUCCACCGUUAAACACGCUGCACUAAUAACACUGAACUGAACUGAAUACAUUCAUAACUAAAUAAGCGCUUUAUCCUGCUCAGGGUGAGUAUAAAACUGGGGUGUGGGGUACACCCUGGAUGGAAGCAUGCACACACGUUCACACCUAGGGGGUCAUUUAGCAUAGCCAGUUCCCCUAACAGCAUGUUUUUGGAAGACAGAAGAGAACCCAGAGGAAACCCACAAGAACACAGGAGAACAGGUUCAGAAACUCCACACAGACAAUAACCUGAGCUCAGGAUCGACCCGGGAACUCUGGAGCUAUGAAACACAUCCCUGAGUGAGACACGUGAGUGAGUGAGACAUGUCAGUGAGACACGUGAGUGAGUGAGACACUUAC